GUGUGUGUGUGUGUGUGCAGGUACGGCUUUCUCUUCGAUAAGGCUCUGCUAGUGUGUAAGAAGCGCAGCGGCGAGAAUCUGGAGCUGAAGGAGCUGAUUGAGCUUCAGCAUUACCAGCUGAGAGACGAGCCGUCAGGAGAAAAGGACAGCAAGAAGUGGACGCACACCUUCCUGCUGAUGGAUCUGUACGGUCAGGGCGGCUACGAUCUGUACUUUAAGACGCGAGAGCUGAAGAAGAAGUGGCUGGAGCAGUUUGAGAUGGCACUGUCCAACAUGUGUCCGGAGAACAGCACGGCUAACGGUCAUGACUUCCAGAUGCACUGUUUUGAGGACACCACCUCGUGUAAAGCCUGUCAGAUGCUCCUCAGGUG